CGCCGCUCACCUUAAAAGGAUUAGCUGGACAUGUCGUGAGACUUGGUUCUACUUGGCGUAAUAAGUAUUUCGCUGAGGACAUCUCUUCGGGGGUGGCCAUGACUCUGGUACAAACGUCUGCUUUCUAACCCGAUGGUCGCUUGCGACCUCACUUUUUAUGAUCUGGCCUCAAAUCAGGUAGGACUACCCGCUGAACUUAA
rnacentral:misc_RNA from 1 species